rnacentral:rRNA from 1 species
GACGAACGCUGGCGGCGUGCCUAACACAUGCAAGUCGAGCGGGGGGAGUUCUUCGGAACGAACCUCGCGGCGGACGGGUGAGUAACACGUGGGCAACCUGCCUUGAGGAGGGGGAUAACAGGAUGAAAGUCCUGCUAAUACCGCAUAACCCGGUGCUGUCGCUUGAUGGCAUCGGCAAAGGAUCAAUCCGCCUCAAGAUGGGCCCGCGGCGCAUUAGCUAGGUGGUGGGGUAACGGCCGACCAAGGCGACGAUGCUGAGCCGACCUGAGGGGGUGAUCGGACAAAUUGGAACUGAGACACGGUCCAGACGCCUACGGGAGGCAGCAGUGGGGAAUAUUGAACAACGGGAGACAGACGGAUGCAGCAACGCCGCGUGAGCGAUGCCGGCCUUCGGGUUGUAAAGCUCUGUCUUCGCUGACGACAUCUGACGGUAAGCGAGGAGUAAGCAACGGCUAACUACGUG